CAUUGGUCAGUCUGCUGAUUCAAAACAAUGGCCGACUGGCAAGCUAGCAUGUUACCUCUUGUGAUCUUUUUAACCGUUUAACAACUAAGCUUCACUUGCUCUGUUUAAGAGGCUGUUACUGGGAUGGAUAGAUGAUUUAAUAAGUGCACUUUUAAAGAAAAAAAAAACAGCCGGCAAGCCCAGCUUUUCGUUGCCAAAAUGAGCGAUGUUGUGGAGAAGACCCUGACAGCUCUGCCAAGCCUGCUGUCUUUAGACUCUCACUCUGGAGCUACAAAACUGUCCUCUACCUCAAAACUAGGAAGCUUCAUCAGAGGGAUCACUGAGUUAACGUCCAAACAUGAAGAGGAAAAACUUGUUCAACGUGAACUAGUGUCUAUCAAAGAGCAGGUGUCCUCCCCGAACACCUCCAUGAGGCAGAUGAAGGAGCUCAUGGUGAGAGCGAUCUACUGUGAAAUGCUCGGUUAUGAGGCUUCGUUCAGCUACAUUCAUGCCAUCAAACUGGCUCAACAAGGCACUGCUCUGGAGAAAAGAGUCGGUUAUCUCGCCGUGUCUUUGUUUCUGAACGAAAGUCACGAGCUGCUUCUCCUCCUUGUGAACACUGUGUUAAAGGAUCUGCAGAGCACAAAUCUAAUUGAAGUGUGCAUGGCUCUAACUGUUGUCGGCCAGAUGUUCCCCAAAGAUAUGAUUCCUGCAAUCCUUCCUCUGGUUGAGGAGAAACUUAAUCACCCAAAAGAAAUCAUUCGAAGAAAAGCCGUCCUGGCACUGUAUAAGUUCUACCUAAUAGCACCAAAUCAAGUUCAACACAUCCACAACAAGUUUCGUAAAGCUCUGUGUGACAAAGACCCUGGCGUCAUGGCAGCCUCACUACACAUCUACCUACAGAUGAUCCAGGACAAUCCAGAAGGUUAUAAAGACCUGACAGCAAGUUUUGUCACCAUACUGAAGCAAGUGGUGGGAGGAAAGCUGCCCAUGGAUUUUAACUAUCAUAGUGUUCCGGCUCCAUGGCUGCAGAUUCAGCUUCUCAGAAUACUGGCUUUUCUUGGGAAAAAUGAUCAGAGUUCAAGUGAGAUCAUAUAUGAAGUCCUCGAUGAGUCUUUACGAAGAGCAGAGAUAAAUCAUAACAUCACCUAUGCAAUAUUAUACGAGUGUGUAAAAUGCAUUUACACAAUUCAUCCCAAAUCUGAACUUUUGGAAAAAGCUGCAAAGUGCAUUGGCAACUUUGUUCUGUCUCCAAAGAUUAAUCUCAAAUAUCUCGGGUUGAAGGCCCUCACCUAUGUGGUCCAGCAGGAUCCUAAACUGGCCCUGCAGCAUCAGAUGACCAUCAUAGAGUGUCUCGAUCACCCCGACCUCAUCAUAAAGCGUGAGACACUGGAGUUGCUCUUUCGGAUCACUAACGCACAGAACGUCACGGUCAUUGUCGUGAAGAUGCUGGAGUUUCUGCGAGUCAAUAAAGAUGACUACACUACCAUUGACCUGGUGGGGAAGGUGGCAGAGUUGGCAGAAAAAUAUGCACCAGACAAUGAAUGGUUCAUUGAGACCAUGAGCACAGUGUUUUCAGUGGGUGGAGACAUGAUGCAGCCUGACAUCCCAAACAGUUUUCUUAAGCUGCUGUCUGAGGGAGUUGACAGCGUGGAGGAAGACAGGAAGUUGAGGCUGUUUGCUGUGGAUUCAUAUCUUUCUCUGCUGCAAGGAGAGCCUGGAAAACUGCCUCAGCGCUUCCUCCAAGUCAUCAGCUGGGUCCUCGGUGAAUACUCCUAUCUGAGGGAGGAACUUGAAGCGGCCACAGUCCUGAGGCUGCUGGCCAAACUAUUGGACAUGAAGAGCACCAGCAGUGAAACCAAGAGCUGGGUCCUCGUGGCAAUGACCAAGCUCUGUGAGGGCGGGGCAGGUGUUUCUGUGGCCCAGGAGGUUUGUGAAACAUACAGCAGCUCCCUGGACACAGUACUGAGACAGAGGGCUCAGGAGCUGCAGCACCUCAGCCAAGACUGUGAACUACGAGCCAGGGUGCUACCUCGAGACGCCGGCCUGGAGCCCCUGGAGGUGGAUUCCUCUCUGUCGUUUCUGGAUGGAUUUGUGUCGGAGGCCUUGGCUGCUGGCGCUGCUCCUUACAAGCCUCCCCAUCAACGGCAGGAGGAACUAGCUCAGUCAAAAGCGUUGAGCCUGGAGCCAUACGGCCUGUCCCUGCCCAUCAGCAUGUCCUCGUGCAGCAUCGCAGACAGACAGUCUCCUACACUGUUGUCUGUAAGCUCCGGUCUGUCAGGCGAUAGCCCCGACCUCUCUCACAAAGGAGGCUCUACAACUCUGAAGCUGGACGGUGUGAAGAGGGUGUGGGGGAGGGAGGGCUACCUGUCGCAGAGGGAAGCUGUGGAGGAGUCCGCCCAUGUUGAGGUUCCCAGUCCCCUCUGGUCACCCAGCCAGCAGGGAGAGGCUGACAGUUCCCACAGCCAGACUCCCGCUACGACACUGACCCCGCAGCCCGAACAAGAGAAACAGCAGCUGGCCUCUUCGCUGUUUGUCGGCCUGGGCUCCCAAAGCUCUGUGUGUCUGAUGGGAAAAUCUGAGCCGACAACCCAGCGAUUCAGAAGAAAAGGAAAAAGUCCGGUCUCGUCCUCGGGUGCCAGCGAGCAAAUAUCCAACUCCCUCGUCUCUACUCCGAGCACAGUGAAUAACUUGCUGUGUAACAACCUCCUGGACUCCAACGUCACCUCAGAACUGGCUGUUUCUUCACUCGAACAGACGUCCCAACUCUCUCAGGGCCCCGCUGCUGCAAACGGCACCUGUGAUGUAGAGUUAACGGACGGUGACAUGAAGGAAAGUAGCCCCUCUCUCGUUGGGGGUAACGGUGUGGUAGCUGCUGAUCCGGCUCCACAUGAAGACCCAGACAGACCUGAAGGCUUGUGUCUCAAUACUCAUCUUCCUGCAGAGUUCUCUGGACUCUGUCACUCAGAAAUCACUCCUCUGUGUUCAAACCAAAGCCUGGAUCUCUCGGCCUGUCAUGUGCAGGAAGAGGAUUCUUUAGCGCUGGUUGUUUUCAUUUACAACUCCUCUGACUCUGACAUUCAGCAGAUACUACUGGAGCUUGACUCAGAUGAACUUGAGGUAUCCUGUGUGUGUGACGGUGCAGUGCAGGAAGCGAGAAGCCACAGCGUAGCAGUGUGUCAGUAUUCCCUGAGUGUGAAGAGGCCUUCAGUCCAUGUUGAAGUGGUCGGGAUGGUGUCUUACCAGUUUCCUGUCGGGACGCCUCAGUCGGUGCAGUUCUCAUACAAACUGCCUCUAACCAGCUUCAUCAGACCUCUGACCGUGUCCACAGAAGAGUACGGGACAAUGUGGCUGGACUUCUCUCAUGAUACAAAGCAGAAGCUGACACUGAUAAGUGAUGGCCAAGAACCUCUCGCAGACACUCUGAAUGUGCUGAAGAAGAAACUUAAGCUCCAUGUCGUGGAAAUCAUUGGUAUGGAAGGUAUCGUAGCGUGCCGGCUCCUCCAAGAUCAGCCGUGUCUGAUGCACUGUCGUCUGCAUGCGGGAACGCUGUCCGUGUGGCUGCGCUCUCCGGUCCCCGACCUGCCCGACUGCCUGAUGUACCACUGUCAAAGAGCUUUACAGGAGCACUGAGCCUCCGACUGCAACUCCUCCACUGACCCCACUGAGCAACGUGACCACCUGACCCUCAACUACUGAAGAAGAAGGGUGACAUCAUGCUAACGCUCACCUCUGACUGCAGCAGUUCCACAUCUGUCUUUCAUCUAUGAUGAGAGCGUUUUGUCUUAAGUAACAAUGUCCCUCUGUGAUGUUCAUAUUGUCCAUUUGUCAUUGUGAUGAGGAGCAUUUCAGGUCUUCCUCCUGUUUUGUGUGAUAUGAUUAUCUAUGCACUCAUGUUUCAGUCAGUUUUGGUGAGAGGUGUAUUUUAGUGGUCUUUGAUUAUUAUAUUUUUGUAUCAAUGCAGUAUUAAAAACAUAUUUAUUGGAUUUAUAUUCUUACAGAAAAUAUUUUGUAUUCAUUUUUCUGAAAGAAAUCAUCGUGCUCCAUGUGCUGUUGGAUCGUGCUGUGUCAGAUUUGACUUGCUCAGCCUGUAUUAUUUAAUUCACCCUGACGGGAGAGUUUGGUCUUUGUUGCCUGUGUCCUUGUUUGAAGCACAGCGUGAAGCUAGCAAUGUGUCGAAAACUCCACUUUAACCCAACGUCUUAUGUUCUAAUGCCGAGGUGGCGUGUUUGGUUUGUGCCUGUGGUACAGAGGAAAUCCUUGUUUCUUACAGUGCCUGUCACUACAUUCUGCUAACUUAUGAAUAAAUCCAACACGUGUAAACUAACAUGAUUUUGACUCAACGAUUAUUCAUUAAAUGAACACAGAUGUGCUGCACUUGAAGCAAAGAGGGACGUUAUUACAGUAAAGAAAAACAUUUCAGACGAUCUUUCCUCUCAUGGGAUAUUUGAAAUAUUUAUUGAAUGAGUAUUUACUUACUACAAACACCAAAAAAACACAAAAAAAAUACUAGUAUCAUUUGAUUUGCAGCCUUUGUCGUACAGUCCACAUUUCCAUUCACUGAGACCCUAAAAAGAAGUUAUCUCUGAAUACUAUCAACCUUUUUUAUAGAGAUUUAACAUGGAAAAAAACAAUAUAAGAUAGUGAGGGUUAAUGAGUUUCUAUCUGGAUUCAUCAUACUAAUGCAUUUACACCCAAUAUUUUAUAUAUAUAUAUAUAUAUAUACAUUUGUAUGUAACACUCCUCACUAUUCUAUACUUUAACAUUGAUAUUUUAACUUUAUUAAUUCUUAAAACAGUAAACCUAAACAGUAACGCUAAAGGAAACAGAUACUGUCUGUAAAAUAUGUCAUUGACUUGUUUUAACAUGUUUUAACUUCAUUAACAGGACUGAACUCAGAUCAAUAUUACAAAAUGACUGUCUGAUUGACUCAGUCCAGGUCCUAAACAAAAGCAAGUUGGCUCCACAUUAGGACAGCAUUUUGAUACCUUAAGACAGCUAAACAACAUCUAUAUCCAUGUCUAUCCUGUUUUUACAAACUGCAUCACGUGGGCUAGAAGAUCAUGCUUGCACUGUUUCUGUUAAAACUGUCAGUAGUAUUUGUUAAAGGUCAGUAACGUCAAAAUAGACAACAUUUAGUAAGAAAGAGACGUCUGCAGGGAUGGCGUAUUUUUGUAGAUCAACCCGGAAGUUAGCGUCGCACUGGUUCCAUCGACAAAAAGCCAAUGAGGUUUUCGAUUGGAUUUGUGAUUAUUGCAGAAAAUAAGAUCCGUAGCAAACACAAGGUUAUGAUAUUUACACGUUUUGUUCAGCGAGAUAUUCUUCACAAAUGAACACACGUUAGGCUACAAAGUGAUGUUUUAUGGUCUCACUUAAACUUUUUUUUAAUACAUGUAAAAACUUUAAAAAUCCAAGAGAGCGGGAGUUACUGAAAAAAACCCAUUGACUUUGAGACGAGGGAACCAUGUCCUGGGUUUAGGACCCAUUCCUGCAGCACUCUAUAUUGAACUAUGAAAACCCAAAGUACCAACGGUUGUGGGUUUUUGCACAUUUGUACAAUCAAGGGAAUAUUUUUGUAUCGGUUACAUACUUCACAAUAUGCACUACCAAGUAGUUUCCACCAAAAUGUGACCCCUGCACGUGUCUCAGUGCUGACUGUGUUGAGUUGAUGUGGUUCGAGGGAUGAAGCGCAUGGCCAGGCUGUGCUCGUCCUCCACAGGCUGCUGUGACAGGUUGUUCGUCUGCCGGAUGCUGUUGAGGGUGCAGCCACGGCGAGGACACACGGUGUAACGAGACAACAGAGUGACCAGGAUGGCCUUCAUCAUCACCAUGGCUAUGUGUUUGCCCACGCAGGAACGAGGCCCGCAUCCGAAUGGCUGGAAGAAACGACUGGGCACCUGCCAACCAGAGGAGGUAGAAACUGAGCUGCUGUUGUCCUUAAAGCCACAUGAUGUUGCACAACAUUCACCAGACUUACUGUUUUGUCAAAGUUCAUCAGGUUGAACACUUUUGGGUUUGGGAAGAAUUCGGUCUUAUGCAUAAGACCAAUGUUGAGAAUGAUGUUGGUUCCUUUUGGGAUUUUAGUGCCUUCGAUGUUGUCAUCCUCCAGAGCUUUUCGCAUUGUGAAAUCAACCACCGGAUGAAAUCGCAAAGACUCGUUGAUGAAAUUCUCCAACACUUUUAAGCUUUGAUAAUCAAUGUUUUCACCUUUUUCACCUGGAAAUGAAAACACAGCAUUGACGGAAUAGUUUUGUUUUUAGCUGUCAGAGUGUAACAGAGAAUAAUACAGCACAAAUGCGCUCACUCAAGACAGCGUUCAUCUCCUCCACUAUCCUCAGCUCUACGUCUGGGUUUUGUUUCAGCAGCAUCAGCAUGAAGAAGAGGCUGAUGGAGAGUGUGUCAGGUGCUGCAAUCACCAUCUCCAGCACGCACUGCCUGACGUUAUCUGCUGAAAGCUCUCCGACAUUCUGCUCAAAAGAAAGUAAAGGUACGCGGCAAACACAUGACAUGAUCAGUACAAUACCUCUGUGACGCAGGUGGUAUAGAUUUAUCAAAAGGGACAAACCUGAGCAAAGAUGAGCUCUGUUGCAAAAUCAAGAUCAUCAUCCAGCUUCUCAGACUCAUUUAUAAUCUUUCUUUUCAUUUCAAGAAGGCUCUCCAUCACGUCCUGCAGCUCUUGGCUGUUGACACAAAAAGCAACACAUAGAUUAGGUUGAAGAAAUCAAGUUGAAGAAAUCUGUUGAGUUGCUGUGAUGCGUGAGGAUCUUACGCUGCUCUCUUGUGCUUGUUGUACAGCCAUCCAAUCUUGAAGAAUAUAUCAGGCUUUAUAAGAACUGUUUGCCAGGUCUCAAAGUAGCUGUGGAUUUUCAUCAGCAAGUCCUUCUCUGAGUUAUGAGGAGCAACAACAACAAAACAGGAAUCAGGAGCUGCAGUGCAAGAAUUUGAAAUAUUAUUUGCUGUCAGAAAAUAGGCAGUUUGAGUGUAGAAUGUGCAGACAGUGACAAUGCAGCUGACCAUUGAGCGGCACCCUCAGGAAAAGCCUGUUGGAGAUGUCCACCACUAUGACUCUUAGCAGAUUGAGAGCGUCCACGUGUCUGGAGGGGUCGGUCAUCUUCUGCAAGUGGUCCAGAUGUUUGGCUGUGGAGCUCACACAGAUUCUCACCGUACGCUGGAGGCCUGGGCCUGUCAGAGCUGUAAAACAAUCAUGAGACAAUACAGUAGUUCAAAUACAAGAAAGCAGUGUUUCAGUUAUUGCAAGACUUCAAUUUUGCAGGAGUUGAAAAAGAGAGAGAAGGAGAGUGGUAAAAUAUGGCACCACAGUACUCUGACUACAUACUCUCUUGUGUAAGGUUAUUGCUCACCUUUAGAGAAAUAUGUCCUCACUUUUCUCCAGAGCAGAACAUCGCUGUUGAAAAUGAUACCCCUCCCUUCCAUCCCAAUACACUCCAGCCCUUUUUUGCUCCCGAAUCUGGCUGUGUAGUGGGCGCUCCUCAGGACAUGAUACACUGCUGAAGAUCUGGAAGAGUAGCCAGGCUUUGACUCACUACAGAUUCAUGGGAUAAGAUAGAAGUUUGUUUGUUUUUAUCUCAAAAGACUUGCCUGCUCAGAAUGAGGGUCUCCUCGCCGUUAAUCCAGACCCGGACAAUGCUGCCAUAUUUGUUGUUGUAAUAGUUGCUCGCUGUUCCUAUCCCCGUCCAGAUGAAUCUGCCGUAGGAGAGGAUAGGACCGAGUCCUGCCAAGAAGGACGGACCUGACAGAAAGAAACAGGUGUUGACUCAAGACAUAAUAGGUCCCAGGCUACUAAUGUCCAAGUGAAAACAGAGGUCUUCCUGUAUGGAAAUCAGUUACUGUUUUCAUUAUCAAUAACGUGAUGCGGAAACAUCUACUUUUGGCUCACACCUGCAGUCCCUUAAGCAUUUUCGAUAAAUCUGUGCAACUUUUGUACAAGAACAGACGCUGAAGUCUCUUACCGGGUAUAUGUGACCGUUUUAUUCGGCUCCAGGCCGUGAACAGCAGCAGUAGCAGCAGCAGAAGCAGAACAGUGGUGACUUCAGACAUUGUGUCGACCACCUCGCUGCCAACGGUGAGUGUCUCCGGCGGCUGCAUCCCCAUCUAAACACACACAUGAGCAUGCUUACUGUGUCCUCUGUCUGUCCUGUGCUCAUAAAGCUUCUCCUCUAAUAACCAGCAGACAAAACAAGCUCAUCCGUGGACAUCCCUUGUAAUUCUCUUGUCCUUGUGUAUAACACAGCCAUGGAACACAUUAAAACCAAAACACACCCACACAAAGCUUUAGGAUGAACUAUUUGUUACUCAGACAGCUGCUCAAUAUGUCAAUAUGUGUGGGUGACAGAUUAUUCCCUCAUUUCUUUUAAUGGUAUUACAGGUUUAUCAUUCUCAUAAUAUUAGGGUCUUCUCUUGAGAUAUCAGGUACAUUGUGUUGCAAAUAUUCCUGACAGAACUCAUCCAAAUAGAAACAUGACAGAGUUCGUUUCAACUGAAUUUCACUACUUAAAAUUUGUGUUUCACUUUAGUGUACUACAGGAGCUAACACAGUCUCUCAAUACAGGAACAAAAUCCACAUAAUUCCAUUUUUAAAUUGAGUAAAAAUUGGGUUAACAUUUGCUCAGAUUUCAUCUUUUAUCCUUAACAGUAUCUUUUUGCCUUUUUUUUAAUUGUUCAUUAACAAAUUAUCAAAGAAUAUUACUUACUUCUCUUGCUCUUUUCGACCGCUGACGAGUUACAGUGCAGUUUAAAGUGAUGCCG